AUCAGCCUCCGAAGGGCACUUUGAAUGGGGAGAACAAUCAUGAUAGUUCCAAAUGAAAAUGGCUUAUAAAUUGGUCCUGUCUCGUGUAUCUGUUUGGUUGCCCAAAUGGGAGUGUGGUUGCCUUCCAAUUUGCUGUACACUUGUUCUCUGCACUCACAAAUCUUCAACGGAGGAUUCCUCGUCUCUGCCCUCGUGUCGGGAGAGUGAAUGCCUUCCAGCCUGCUGUGCGCUGUUCUCUGCACCUCACUACGCUUCAAAGGAGUAUUUCUACGAAUCUGCUCCUGACUUCACGAUGCACACAUUCGCCUGCAAACACACUAUUCACGGAUUUGCCCAUUGCGCAGCCACAGCGCGCACGCAACCACAGACUCCCAUCACGCCAUGUGGGACCAGUUUCUGCAUGGGCUUUCUGACGACAUCCAGGGUGAAAUAUAUCCUUUGGAUCUGCCUCCACGCUUCGAUGAUUUGGCGGAUCUGGCUAUCCGAGUAGAUCAAUGUCUGGCCCUAUGCCGUCGCCACCAUUCUCCACCAACCUGGGCGGCUGGCCAUCCAACCCAGUUCACUGCUUCGGCCAGUUCACCAGAAUCACGGCCCAACACAGAGCCCAUGCAAGUUGGGAGAACUCGGAUUUCACAUAAGGAGAAGCAGUGACGCCUUGGUCAAGGAUUAUGCUUUAAGUGUGACCAGUCUGGUCAUUUCUCUGCUUCCUGUCUGGUAAAAGAUACCACUCAUCAGUAGGAAGGGGGUUACUGGCGAGUGCAGCACUCUUGGAGAAAGCCCCCGGAUUACGUACAGUUCUCCCGGCCCUGCUGCAGUAUGGAUCUACCAGUCACACGGUCUCAGCCUUGGUGGAUUCCGGAGACGAAGGGAACUUUAUGGACAUUGACUUGGCUUCCGAAUGGCGGGUUCCUAUGGUCCAGUUGGAUGAACCUAUCACCGCCCACACCCUCAGUGGCACGCCCUGUCAUCACCCAGUCACCUUUGUCUCUGGAAAUCAGAUGGAGCAGUAGUCCUUUUACCUGAUCCAAUCUCCAUCUGCACCGGCAUUGUUGGGGCAUCCUUGGUUGGUGACGCACAACCCACACAUAGACUGGUCAACCAACACUGUUCUUGCUUGGAUUCCUUACUGUUUGUCGCACUGUCUUAACUCUGCUGUCUCCCCUGUCCAGAACCGGUGGAUUUAUCCGGAGUACCGUUGACAUACCAUAACUUGAGGGCGGUGUUCAGCCGGUCCCGCACACGACCCUUCCUCCUCAUCGCCCGUAUGACUGUCCGAUUGAAGUUCUUCCUGGCGCUUCGCCUCCUCGGGGGUGGCUGUGUUCGCUCUCGGCUCCCGAGAGGAAGGCCAUGAACAGUCCCGGCUCGGGACAUCCUGGACCAUGCCUUCAUAGACCUGUUUCACCUCUGGCUAGGUAAUUCUGCUGAGGAUGCAAGGAGGCGUCCCUGGGUUGUACUGUCACGGCUCCAGUAAGUUUGUCUUUUUGUUCUGUGUGUUUUAUA